rnacentral:rRNA from 1 species
AGCAGCCGCGGUAAUUCCAGCUCCAAUAGCGUAUAUUAAAGUUGUUGCAGUUAAAAAGCUCGUAGUUGAAUUUCGGGAUCGAUACGUCGGUCGUGCCUUGGUACGUACUAGCGUCAUCGGUUUCUCCCUUCUAACGAAUCGUGAUGUCAUUAAUUUGGUGUUGCGGGGAGUUAGGACUGUUACCUUGAAAAAAUUAGAGUGUUUAAAGCAGGCAAUCGCUCGAAUACAUUAGCAUGGAAUAAUGAAAUAGGACGUUCGAACCUAUUUUGUUGGUUUCUAGGAUCGACGUAAUGAUUAAUAGGGAUAGUUGGGGGCAUUAGUAUUCAAUUGUCAGAGGUGAAAUUCUUGGAUUUAUUGAAGACUAACUACUGCGAAAGCAUUUGCCAAGGAUGUUUUCAUUAAUUCAAGAACGAAAGUUAGGGGAUCGAAGACGAAUCAGAUACCAUCCUAGUCUUAACCAUAAACUAUGCCGACUAGGAAUCGGAUGAUGUUAAUUUUAUAAUGACUCA